AACUUUCGGCAAUGGAUCUCUUGGUUCUGGCAUCGAUGAAGAACACAGCGAAAUGCGAUAAGUAAUGUGAAUUGCAGAAUUCAGUGAAUCAUCGAAUCUUUGAACGCACAUUGCGCCCGCCAGUAUUCUGGCGGGCAUGCCUGUUCGAGCGUCAUUUCAACCAUCAAGCCCCCGGCUUGUGUUGGGGCCCUGCGGCUGCCGCAGGCCCUGAAAACCAGUGGCGGGCUCGCUGUCACCCCGAGCGUAGUAGUUACAUCUCGCUCUGGGAGUGCUGCGGGUUCCGGCCGUUAAAAGCCUUAUUUACCCAAGGUUGACCUCGGAUCAGGUAGGAAGACCCGCUGAACUUAAGCAUAUCAAUAAGCGGAGGCU
rnacentral:misc_RNA from 1 species